CCUACGGGUGGCAGCAGUGAGGAAUAUUGGUCAAUGGGCGCGAGCCUGAACCAGCCAAGUAGCGUGAAGGAUGACUGCCCUACGGGCUGUAAACUUCUUUUAUAAAGGAAUAAAGUGAGGCACGUGUGCCUUUUUGUAUGUACUUUAUGAAUAAGGAUCGGCUAACUCCGUUUCAGGAGCCGCGGUAAUACGGAGGCUCCGAACGCUAUCCGGAUUUAUUGGGUUUAAAGGGAGCGUAGAUGGGUUGUUAAGUCAGUUGUGAAAGUUUGCGGCUCAACCGUAAAAUUGCAAUUGAUACUGGCAGUCUUGAGUACAGUUGAGGUGGGCGGAAUUCAUGGUGUAGCGGUGAAAUGCGUAGAUAUAACGAAGAACUCCGAUUGCGAAAGCAGCUUACUAAACUGCCACUGACAUUGAUGCUCGAAAGUGUGGGUAUCAAACAGGAUUAGAUACCCUAGUAGUC
rnacentral:rRNA from 1 species